CAGAAUAUAGCUUAAAUAAAGCAUCUUGCUUACACCAAAAAAAUAUCUAUAUAUAGAUUAUUCUG
rnacentral:tRNA from 1 species